CAGCCGCCACGGGAAUACGGAGGGUGCAAGCGUUAAUCGGAAUUACUGGGCGUAAAGCGUGCGUAGGCGGUUCGUUAAGUCUGUUGUGAAAGCCCCGGGCUCAACCUGGGAAUGGCAAUGGAUACUGGCGAGCUAGAGUGUGUCAGAGGAUGGUGGAGUUCCCGGUGUAGCGGUGAAAUGCGUAGAGAUCGGGAGGAACAUCAGUGGCGAAGGCGGCCAUCUGGGACAACACUGACGCUGAGGCACGAAAGCGUGGGGAGCAAACAGGAUUAGAUACCCGCGUAGUCCCUGUCUCUUAUAC
rnacentral:rRNA from 1 species